UACGGAGGGGACUAGCGUUGUUCGGAAUUACUGGGCGUAAAGCGCACGUAGGCGGAUUUGUAAGUCAGGGGUGAAAUCCCGGGGCUCAACCUCGGAACUGCCUUUGAUACUGCAAAUCUCGAGACCGGAAGAGGUGAGUGGAAUUCCUAGUGUAGAGGUGAAAUUCGUAGAUAUUAGGAAGAACACCAGUGGCGAAGGCGGCUCACUGGUCCGGUACUGACGCUGAGGUGCGAAAGCGUGGGGAGCAAACAGG
rnacentral:rRNA from 1 species